CUGCCAGUAUUGAUAUGCUUGUCUCAAAGAUUAAGCCUUGCAAGUCUAAGUAUAAAUCAUUUUUACUGAUGAAACUGCGAACGGCUCAUUAAAUCAGUUAUAGUUUAUUUGAUGGUAUUGGGGCUUGUACCCAACUACAUGGAUAACUGUAGUAACCUAGAGCUAAUACAUGCAAAUCAACCAAACUAGUAUUCGGAAUGGUUGGCACUUAUUAGAUAACAAACCAAUACCUCUCGGGGUUUUAAUGGUGAUUCAUAAUAACUGAACAGAUCGCAUGACCUUGUGUCGGCGACGUUUCAUUCAAAUUUCUGCCCUAUCAACUAGAUGUUAGUAUAUAGGACUAACAUGGUUUUAACGUUUGACGGGGAAUUGGGGUUCGAUUCCGGAAAAGGAGCAUGAGAAAACGGCUACUACUUCUAAUGAAAGCAUCAAGCGCGCAAAUUAUUUCAAUGGUAACAAC
rnacentral:rRNA from 1 species